rnacentral:misc_RNA from 1 species
AGUCUGCAAUAGUUCAUCAAGAACAGAAGAGUCCACAUCCGCCAACAGCUCAACCGACCCACCAUUGUCUGACCCGGGUCCAGACCCUGUACUAUCAAGCUUCUCUCCAGCCCGUGCCGGUCUAUACAAAAACAAAUCGCACAAAAACCUGCCCUGGGGAGUCAAAAAAGCAGCGUACAUAGGCGGCGCGGAGACGGUAGGCAUAUUGGGAGUGGGCAAAUACGACAUUCACUCACCCGGUGUUUCACCGAAUCUCCGUACAUCGUUGGUUAGCAGACCUUGA